AUUGAACGCUGGCGGCAGGCUUAACACAUGCAAGUCGAACGAGUGGCGGACGGGUGAGUAAUGCUUGGGCAUCUAGCUUAUGGAGGGGGAUAACUACGGGAAACUGUAGCUAAUACCGCGUACCAUAGGAUGAGCCCAAGUGGGAUUAGGUAGGAGGUGAGGUAAAGGCUCACCAAGCCGACGAUCUCUAGCUGGUCUGAGAGGAUGACCAGCCACACGAGAACUGAGACACGGCCCAGAGUCCGACGGGAUGCAGAAGUUGGGAAUAUUGCGCAAUGGGGGCAACCUGACGCAGCCAUGCCGCGUGAAUGAGGAAGGCCUUCGGGUAGUAAAGUUCUUUCGGUAGAGAGGCGUUAACUACAGAAGAAGCACCGGAUAACUCCGUGCCAGCAGCCGCGGUAAUAA
rnacentral:rRNA from 1 species